CCUACGGGGGGCUGCAGUCGAGAGGCUUCGGCAAUGGGCGCAAGCCUGACCGAGCGACGCCGCGUGCAGGAUGAAGGCCUUUGGGUCGUAAACUGCUUUCGACUGGGAAGAAUGCCUCGGUGGUGAACCGAGGAGAGACGGUACCAGGAGAAGAAGCCCCGGCUAACUUCGUGCCAGCAGCCGCGGUAAUACGAAGGGGGCAAGCGUUAUUCGGAUUUAUUGGGCGUAAAGGGCGCGUAGGUGGCUAGGCAAGUCCGGUGUGAAAACGCUACCGCUCAACGGAGCGAAUGCGCUGGAUACUGCUUAACUUGAGUACGGAAGAGGUUAGCGGAAUACGUGGUGUACCGGUGGAAUGGGUAGAGAUCACGUAGAACACCUGUGGCGAAGGCGGCUAACUGGUCCGGUACUGACACUGAUGCGCGAAAGCGUGGGGAGCAAACGGGCUUAGAUACCCGGGUAGUC
rnacentral:rRNA from 1 species